rnacentral:rRNA from 1 species
GGGGAAUUUUGGACAAUGGGGGAAACCCUGAUCCAGCCAUGCCGCGUGCGGGAUGAAGGCCUUCGGGUUGUAAACCGCUUUUGUCAGAGACGAAAAGGGACGUACGAAUAAUACGUUCCGCUGACGGUAUCUGAAGAAUAAGCACCGGCUAACUACGUGCCAGCAGCCGCGGUAAUACGUAGGGUGCAAGCGUUAAUCGGAAUUACUGGGCGUAAAGGGUGCGCAGGCGGCUGUGCAAGACAGAUGUGAAAUCCCCGGGCUUAACCUGGGAACUGCAUUUGUGACUGCACGGCUAGAGUUUGUCAGAGGAGGGUGGAAUUCCGCGUGUAGCAGUGAAAUGCGUAGAUAUGCGGAAGAACACCAAUGGCGAAGGCAGCCCUCUGGGACAUGACUGACGCUCAUGCACGAAAGCGUGGGGAGCAAAC